rfam:Nematostella vectensis strain CH2 x CH6 NEMVEscaffold_25_Cont4530, whole genome shotgun sequence.
GGCCUUGUGGCCCAAUGGAUAAGGCCCCUGACUACGGAUCAGGAGAUUCGAGGUUAGAGUCCUGGCAGGGUCU